UGACUGCGUGCGACCGUCGUCUUGCUUCCCCUCUUUUGCCAUUUCCCUCCUAGCGCGUCCUCUACCUUGCUCAGUGACUCUCCAUCGCCAAAAAAAGGGCAGAUUAUUGUCUGCCAGAGACCGUAUCACUUGGUGGCAGUGCAGUGCAGUUGUAUAGGCCAGCCAGGGGACGUGCGCUGACGACGGAACGCUGAGUAUUCAGCGGGGACUCCUCUGACUCUCUCAGUCCUCUCCGACAGGCCAUUACUACAGCGUAUUACCAGCCCCAGAAACUAAGCCGUGAUAGCACUGCACAAGAAAAAGCACUUGACCGUUGCCCAUCGCCCAUCUGCUGACAGCUCCCUGACUCCAGCCUGAUUGCGAUCGCCAUGCUGCAUCCGGGCAGUUGGCGCGGUUGGGGGGGAGGGAUAUAUAUAAAACCCUUCCCUCACAGGGGCUGCUUUAACUAACAUGUAAGGGGGUUACUGUGCCCAACCAUGCCUGUACUCUGGGAGGCUCCGGUUAAAAACUGCCCCUACACUCUGUGGAGGAAGUGCUUCCUCCGAACCCAGCUGUACUCAGCCUCACCCAACCUAUCCCCACUGCUCUUGGCACAUCCACUUAUGAUCGACGUCGCAGAUCAGUGGUGAGGGGACUCCACCCG
rnacentral:sRNA from 1 species